rnacentral:lncRNA from 1 species
GUUGCAUCCAUUUAUUAUUCACAAAUCUCAAUUGCUUUUAUAAUCUAUUAUUAUUUGAUAUUUUGCUGUCACGUGUAAUAACUAUUUGGUCAAAGCAAGGUUUGCCAGCCCCAUGAAUAACUUGGAUUGAGGAGUUCCACGAUAGCUUUUCUCCACCAUUGACUCUUGAAAAGGAUUGUUUCAACCCAAAAAGAAAAAAAAAACCCCUCUUGAAAGUAACAUUGUAGUAACAACAUAUUAACUAGUCCAACAUCAGGAUUUCGUGGUUGGUAUUAUUCCCUGUAGUGGCAAAGGGUUUACAUUUUGAUGAUCAUUAUAGUUGGGGUGGAUGAUUAUAAAAUACUACUAUAAUUAGGUCCGACUACUCGUAGUUCAUUGUAGCCCCAGCAUUUGACGGUCAAUGCUCAUGGAGAGGCUCGUCACGUGGACCAACCACAU